rnacentral:rRNA from 1 species
AGAGUUUGAUCAUGGCUCAGAUUGAACGCUGGCGGCAGGCCUAACACAUGCAAGUCGAACGGUAACAGGAAGCAGCUUGCUGCUUCGCUGACGAGUGGCGGACGGGUGAGUAAUGUCUGGGAAGCUGCCUGAUGGAGGGGGAUAACUACUGGAAACGGUAGCUAAUACCGCAUAAUGUCGCAAGACCAAAGAGGGGGACCUUCGGGCCUCUUGCCAUCGGAUGUGCCCAGAUGGGACUAGCUUGUUGGUGGGGUAACGGCUCACCAAGGCGACGAUCCCUAGCUGGUCUGAGAGGAUGACCAGCCACACUGGAACUGAGACACGGUCCAGACUCCUACGGGAGGCAGCAGUGGGGAAUAUUGCACAAUGGGCGCAAGCCUGAUGCAGCCAUGCCGCGUGUAUGAAGAAGGCCUUCGGGUUGUAAAGUACUUUCAGCGGGAGGAAGGGAGCAAAGUUAAUACCUUUGCUCAUUGACGUUACCCGCAGAAGAAGCACCGGCUAACUCCGUGCCAGCAGCCGCGGUAAUACGGAGGGUGCAAGCGUUAAUCGGAAUUACUGGGCGUAAAGCGCACGCAGGCGGUUUGUUAAGUCAGAUGUGAAAUCCCCGGGCUCAACCUGGGAACUGCAUCUGAUACUGGCAAGCUUGAGUCUCGUAGAGGGGGGUAGAAUUCCAGGUGUAGCGGUGAAAUGCGUAGAGAUCUGGAGGAAUACCGGUGGCGAAGGCGGCCCCCUGGACGAAGACUGACGCUCAGGUGCGAAAGCGUGGGGAGCAAACAGGAUUAGAUACCCUGGUAGUCCACGCCGUAAACGAUGUCGACUUGGAGGUUGUGCCCUUGAGGCGUGGCUUCCGGAGCUAACGCGUUAAGUCGACCGCCUGGGGAGUACGGCCGCAAGGUUAAAACUCAAAUGAAUUGACGGGGGCCCGCACAAGCGGUGGAGCAUGUGGUUUAAUUCGAUGCAACGCGAAGAACCUUACCUGGUCUUGACAUCCACGGAAGUUUUCAGAGAUGAGAAUGUGCCUUCGGGAACCGUGAGACAGGUGCUGCAUGGCUGUCGUCAGCUCGUGUUGUGAAAUGUUGGGUUAAGUCCCGCAACGAGCGCAACCCUUAUCCUUUGUUGCCAGCGGUCCGGCCGGGAACUCAAAGGAGACUGCCAGUGAUAAACUGGAGGAAGGUGGGGAUGACGUCAAGUCAACAUGGCCCUUACGACCAGGGCUACACACGUGCUACAAUGGCGCAUACAAAGAGAAGCGACCUCGCGAGAGCAAGCGGACCUCAUAAAGUGCGUCGUAGUCCGGAUUGGAGUCUGCAACUCGACUCCAUGAAGUCGGAAUCGCUAGUAAUCGUGGAUCAGAAUGCCACGGUGAAUACGUUCCCGGGCCUUGUACACACCGCCCGUCACACCAUGGGAGUGGGUUGCAAAAGAAGUAGGUAGCUUAACCUUCGGGAGGGCGCUUACCACUUUGUGAUUCAUGACUGGGGUGAAGUCGGAACAAGGUAACCGUAGGGGAACCUGCGGUU